rnacentral:rRNA from 1 species
CAUGCAAGUCGAACGAGCGAGAGAGAGCUUGCUUUCUUGAGCGAGUGGCGAACGGGUGAGUAACGCGUGAGGAACCUGCCUCAAAGAGGGGGACAACAGUUGGAAACGACUGCUAAUACCGCAUAAGCCCACGACCCGGCAUCGGGUAGAGGGAAAAGGAGCAAUCCGCUUUGAGAUGGCCUCGCGUCCGAUUAGCUAGUUGGUGAGGUAACGGCCCACCAAGGCAACGAUCGGUAGCCGGACUGAGAGGUUGAACGGCCACAUUGGGACUGAGACACGGCCCAGACUCCUACGGGAGGCAGCAGUGGGGAAUAUUGCACAAUGGGGGAAACCCUGAUGCAGCGACGCCGCGUGGAGGAAGAAGGUCUUCGGAUUGUAAACUCCUGUUGUUGAGGAAGAUAAUGACGGUACUCAACAAGGAAGUGACGGCUAACUACGUGCCAGCAGCCGCGGUAAAACGUAGGUCACAAGCGUUGUCCGGAAUUACUGGGUGUAAAGGGAGCGCAGGCGGGAAGACAAGUUGGAAGUGAAAUCCAUGGGCUCAACCCAUGAACUGCUUUCAAAACUGUUUUUCUUGAGUAGUGCAGAGGUAGGCGGAAUUCCCGGUGUAGCGGUGGAAUGCGUAGAUAUCGGGAGGAACACCAGUGGCGAAGGCGGCCUACUGGGCACCAACUGACGCUGAGGCUCGAAAGUGUGGGUAGCAAACAGGAUUAGAUACCCUGGUAGUCCACACUGUAAACGAUGAUUACUAGGUGUUGGAGGAUUGACCCCUUCAGUGCCGCAGUUAACACAAUAAGUAAUCCACCUGGG